rnacentral:rRNA from 1 species
UACGUAGGGGGCAAGCGUUGUCCGGAAUCAUUGGGCGUAAAGCGCGCGUAGGCGGCCCGGUAAGUCCGCUGUAAAAGUCCAGGGCUCAACCCUGGAAAGCCGGUGGAUACUGUCGGGCUAGAGUCCGGAAGAGGAGAGUGGAAUUCCUGGUGUAGCGGUGAAAUGCGCAGAUAUCAGGAAGGACACCCGUGGCGAAGGCGGCUCCCUGGGACGGUACUGACGCUGAGACGCGAAAGCGUGGGGAGCGAACAGG